rnacentral:lncRNA from 1 species
AUGACUAAAACCUGGACACAUAAUAAAUAUAAUUGUUGAAGCAAAAAUAAAAAAAUUAAAAAGAAUGACAAUGAGUUAGAAAAAUUAAUUUGAACUUACAUAAAUGCAAAUCUGCUUCGAACUAGUUAUCCAUACUCCACAAUAGCUAAUAAUUAAGAUUUGGAGAUUACUCUGUUCAAAAUAACAUACCAUGUGAUCAAAAAAUGGUAUUGAUAAGUAAAGAAAAUGAUUAAAGAAAAAAGAACAUAAUAUACUAAAUAAGAAUAUGCUUGUUCUGAUCUCUUUGACUCACAGGACGGCUAAAGGAAAAAAAUAAAAUCAAACAAAGAAGAACUUUAGGUUUUUUACCUCUUGCUCUUAGUUAUAAAGAAAAGGAAAAUUAUAUUUUUAACCAACAGUGUCCUAAACUUUAAGGGCAUAUAAUGUAAAAAUGAAAAAUACAUGUAAUGUAAUAGAGAGCUUGAAUAGGGUCGGGUUACGGGCUAGGGUUAUGUUUUUGAAAUUAAACCCAGACUGGACCAUUGCUAUUAACAGCCGGGCUAUUUGUUGUUCACCACCAUUAAAAUAGAAUUUUUUUAGUUUUAAUAAAAUACUAUUCACAACCUUAUUUGUCUAUUCUCAACCAUAAUGUUUUGGUCAUCUUCUUCAAAUCCACGAUUCCCAACCAUAUUGAUUCUUCACUUUCUUCUAUUAAAUAAAUUAAAUUGUGUAACUGUAUAUAAGAAAGAAUGGUACAUCGAAGAAUAAAAUAAAUAAGAGAAGUGAUAAUGAAUUAAAAUUGGGUUUAAUAAAAACAAUUGUUUGUAAAAUUAUUCAUAAAAGAAAAUCAUCACUACCUCUUGUACAAGAAAACUAUGAAAAUUUACCAUGCUCAUGAAAUCUCCAAGGGUGUGUAAGAAAUCUUAUUCGCUUAAUGAUUUACUUUGCUUUAUCAUUGAAGUGUUAAACUAUAAAUCACCUCAACGACUAACUAUAAAUCUUUUAGAGGGGCAGAGUAGUAAUUACAUAGUAAAAUAAGAAGAGAACUCAAUUCUCCGUCAAAUCUCCCUCUCACUUCGUGUCUUCUUCUCCGACCAUAAAAUUUUAAUUCCAUCCUGUAUCCUCCAUAUUCAGCGGUAAACUGUUUUACCGCUCGAAUCAAACUGACCCUAAAUUCCAUUUGAUUUUUUUUGUCUUUUUUUUUGAGAAAAUCCACCAGAUUUCCCACGGCCAACAGCAGUAGCUAAUUUAAUUUUUAAUUAAACAAAUUCAAGAUUUUCCACAGUUGAUAGCAGUAGCAAAUUUACCUAGGCCUACGGGCGGGACCGUGGCUAACAUAGUAUGGUUGCCACAGACCCAAACCGUGGCAAACAAUUUAGCUACCCCUGAAACCCCACGGUCUUGCCCCUGAUUUAGACCGUGGCUAAUCACGUUUUGCCACCGUUCUGGUCUGUGGCGAAUUUACAGUAUUCUUGUAGUGAUUGUGCAUACCUUCAGCAGUAGCAGCUGAAAUUGAUCUUCAGUAGUUGUAUACCAACAUUGAGAAUUCUCUUUAACUGGACUCUCAUCCGCAGUGGCUUAGCAACAUCAACAUCCCUCAUCUUGAUGAUGAACCACUUCCAAAGAUUCAUCUUGACUUGAUGAAGCUUGGGUACCUCUAUCCAUCACAGUGUAUAUUCACUUUAGGAAAACAAGUCUGCAAGUAGGAAACAACCCCAAAACAAAAUUAAACAGAGUAAAUGAAAUGAUAAUGAAAUAAAAACCCAAUUUUGAUUUUCAAAGUAAGAAAAAAAAAGAUGGGAAAACACACCAAAAUGUGGAGUAAAGAACAAGCAAAACUCAUACCCGAAUCUUCAUAAACUCUUCUUCAUAUUCUACAAAUUAAAGAAAAAUCAAAACAUAAAAACAAAAUCCCAAAAUCCACUUUGUACAAGAGCUGCAGCCAGCAAUGUCCUUGACAGCAUUAAAAUGAAGCUUACCAGUUGGAAAGGUCGACACCUUUCUUUUCAAGGAAGAGCCAUUAUGAUUAGAUCUGUUCUUGCUAGAUCAACAAUUUAUAACAUGGCAAUCUAUAGAUGGCCAAUGAGCAUCAUCAGAGAAACAUAAUAUGUUAUGCGAAACUUUCUUUGGUCUGGGGAUCCAUCUUCACCUAGGAAAAUUACAAUAGCAUGGAGUAAAGUCUGCAAACCACUUUGUGAAGGGGGUCUGGUAUCAAGAGUCUAAGAGAGAUGAAUACAACAAUGUUGAUGAAGUUGGGAUGGCACAUUCUCAGUGGAUCAGAUAAUUUUGCUUCCUUUAUGCAACGCAAGUUUUUUACUAGGAAUGGUGAUAUGAUUCAGUUCCAUAGACACUCCACCAUUUGGUCUGGCAUCAAAGAAACUAUUCCA